rnacentral:tRNA from 1 species
GCUGUAGCUCAGUGGCAGAGCACUUGCCUGGCAUGUGUGAGGCACUGGGUUCAAUUCUCGGCAUCGCA